rnacentral:rRNA from 1 species
UACGAAGGGGGCUAGCGUUGUUCGGAAUCACUGGGCGUAAAGCGCACGUAGGCGGCUUUUUAAGUCAGGGGUGAAAUCCUGGAGCUCAACUCCAGAACUGCCUUUGAUACUGGGAAGCUCGAGUCCGGGAGAGGUGAGUGGAACUCCGAGUGUAGAGGUGAAAUUCGUAGAUAUUCGGAAGAACACCAGUGGCGAAGGCGGCUCACUGGCCCGGUACUGACGCUGAGGAGCGAAAGCGUGGGGAGCAAACAGG